rnacentral:snoRNA from 1 species
UCGCUGUGAUGAUUGAUAUCCAAACAUUCGGUUUCCACCAGAAAGGUUUUUCUCAUGUAGGCCAGUUCUUCCUUGGAUGUCUGUAUGG